rnacentral:rRNA from 1 species
UACGUAGGGUGCGAGCGUUGUUCGGAUUUACUGGGAGUAAAGCGCACGUAGGCGGACUAUUAAGUCAGGGGUGAAAUCCCGGGGCUCAACCCCGGAACUGCCUUUGAUACUGGUAGUCUUGAGUUCGAGAGAGGUGAGUGGAAUUCCGAGUGUAGAGGUGAAAUUCGUAGAUAUUCGGAGGAACACCAGUGGCGAAGGCGGCUCACUGGCUCGAUACUGACGCUGAGGUGCGAAAGCGUGGGGAGCAAACAGG